rnacentral:rRNA from 1 species
UUGGUGGACGAGCAAUGCCGCCUGCAGAAUUCAGCCUUCAGUGAUUGAUGGUGCAUGCUUCCGACCGAAGGAAGGCGGCGUGCGGGCCUAUGCCAUUGGUUGCUGUGGGUGCACUUUCUGCGGCGAACGCAAACAUCGGUUGAUGCAUCGACAAAUGACUUAUCAGGAGUCGUCUCGAGCUUCGGCUCGGGAACGUACUGAUUUGUUCGGCUUGAUUGCGUCGACUGAGAUUGAACUCUGCCCGCAUGUUACCUUACUGAUUCUGUCUGGAGCGAUCGGACUGUUGAUGUUUCUGCUGUCAUGGUAGAACGUCGGCGACUCUCGUUCUUGAUUGGGGUUGGUACUUGGUGAUGGCAGACAAGAUCCUUUGCGUCUGUGUCUCACACCCACCUAUAUCGUCUUGAAACACGAGCCGAGAAGUCUGACAGAUGCGCAAGUCAAUGGGUUCCAAGAAACCCCAUAGGCGUAAUGAAAGUAAAGUCGUGGCCUUGCGCUCGACUAGCUGAGAUCCGUCAUUCGUGGCGGCGCAUCAGCGUCCCGUCUUAUGAUCUCUUCGGAGUAUCUGAGGCGGAGAUAGAGCGUAUCUGUCAGGACCCGAAAGAUGGUGAACUAUGCCUGUGUAGAACGAAGCCAGAAGAAAUUCUGGUGGAAGUUCGUAGCGUUUUUGACGUGCAAAUC